GGUGAACCUGCGGAAGGAUCAUUAUCGUGCU
rnacentral:rRNA from 1 species